GACGAACGCUGGCGGCGUGCCUAAUACAUGCAAGUCGAGCGGACGAAUCGAAAGCUUGCUUUUGAUUCGUUAGCGGCGGACGGGUGAGUAACACGUGGGCAACCUGCCCUGUAGACGGGGAUAACACCGAGAAAUCGGUGCUAAUACCGGAUAACACGAAAUGUCGCAUGACGUUUCGUUGAAAGACGGCUCAAGCUGUCGCUACAGGAUGGGCCCGGGGCGCAUUAGCUAGUUGGUGAGGUAACGGCUCACCAAGGCGACGAUGCGUAGCCGACCUGAGAGGGUGAUCGGCCACACUGGAACUGAGACACGGCCCAGACUCCUACGGGAGGCAGCAGUAAGGAAUCUUCCGCAAUGGACGAAAGCCUGACGGAGCAACGCCGCGUGAGCGAAGAAGGCCUUCGGGUCGUAAAGCUCUGUUGUUAGGGAAGAACAAGUAACGCAGUAACUGGCGUUACCGUGACGGUACCUAACGAGAAAGCCACGGCUAACUACGUG
rnacentral:rRNA from 1 species